rnacentral:rRNA from 1 species
UGUGUUGCUUGCAAGGGCGUAUGGUGGAUGCCUUGGCAGACAGGACCGAUGAAGGACGUUUGAGGCUGCGAUAUGCCUCGGGGAGCCGCCAACAGGGCUUUGAUCCGAGGAUUUCCGAAUGGGGGAACCCACCGACCGUCAUGGGUCGGUACCGGCUUCGGCCGGGGGGUACGCAGGGAAGUGAAACAUCUCAGUACCUGCAGGAAAGGAUAUUCCGUGAGUAGUGGCGAGCGAAAGCGGAUGAUGGCCAAACCUUGCGCGUGUGAUACCCGUCGGGGGUUGCGCGCGGGGUGUUGCGGGAUCGCGUGCGCCGGCUCCGACGGGCCGGCCGGCAGUUGCAGAAAACCAUGUGUCAGGGGAACCGGGUUGAAUACCGGGCCGCAGAGGGUGAGGGCCCCGUACCUGAACGCGCAUGGUCUGCCGAUCGCGUCUCCCAAGUAGCACGGGUCCCGUGGAACCCCGUGCGAAUCCGCCCAGACCGUUGGGUAAGCCUGAAUAUUCCUGUCUGACCGAUAGCGAACGAGUACCGUGAGGGAAAGGUGAAAAGUACCCCGGGAGGGGAGUGAAACAGUCUCUGAAACCGUGCGCCUACAAUCCGUCGGAGCCCUUUUGUGGGGUGACGGCGUGCCUAUCGAAAAAUGAGUCUGCGAGUCAGUGGCAUGUGGCGAGCAUAACCCGUGUGGGGUAUGCGUAGCGAAGGCGAGUCUUAAAAGGCGUUUGAGUCGCGUGUCCUGGACCCGAAGCGGGAUGAUCUAGCCCUGAGCAGGUUGAAGCGCGGGUAAGACCGCGUGGAGGACCGAACCCACCUGGGUUGAAAACCGGGGGGAUGACUUGGGGCUAGGGGUGAAAGGCCAAUCAAAUUCCGUGAUAGCUGGUUCUCUCCGAAAUGCAUUUGGGUGCAGCGUCGGGUCAUUACGUCCCGGGGGUAGAGCUACUGGAUGCUUGCGGGCCCGUAUCGGGUACCAACAGCAACCAAACUCCGAAUACCGGUGACGCGUAUCCCGGCAGUGAGUCGGCGGGGGAUAAGCUUCGUCGUCGAAAGGGAAACAGCCCAGACCGUCGUCUAAGGUCCCGAAGCGUGUGCUAAGUGGGAAAGGAUGUGGAGUCGCAUAGACAGCCAGGAGGUUGGCUCAGAAGCAGCCACCCUUGAAAGAGUGCGUAACAGCUCACUGGUCUAGUGGUUCCGCGCCGACAAUGUAGCGGGGCUCAAGCACACCACCGAAGACGCGGCAGUAUUUUGUACUGGGUAGGAGAGCGUCCCAUGAGGGGCGAAGCGGCCGUGUGAACGCGCCGUGGACUUCAUGGGAGUGAGAAUGCAGACAUGAGUAGCGAGAGACGGGUGAAGAUCCCGUCCGCUGGAUGACCAAGGGUUCCAGGGCCACGUUCAUCGUCCCUGGGUGAGUCGGGUCCUAAGGCGAGGCCGACAGGCGUAGUCGAAUGGAUGAACGGGUCGAUAUUCCCGUACCGGCUUUCAGCCGCCAAAACCGAGGCUUGGAGUACUAACCUCCGGGUCCGGGCUUACUGCUCCUUCGGGGGCGGGAUGCCCUGGCCUGUUGGGACCGAUCCUUGUAGUAGGUCAGCGCAGGAGUGACGCAGAAGGGUAGCCGGCCGCGGAGGUGGUCUUCCGUGGUCAAGCACGCAGGGCGUGGGACAGGCAAAUCCGUCCCGCAUGGGUCCGAGGUGCGAUGAUGGGGGCCUUAUGGCCCGAUAUCCGGUGAUCCCGGCUGCCGAGAAAAGCUUCGGCGUCAGGCUCAAAGCCGCCCGUACCCCAAACCGACACUGGUGGUCAGGUAGAGAAUACCAAAGCGAUCGAGCGAAUCCUGGUCAAGGAACUCGGCAAAUCACUCCCGUUCCUUCGGUUUAAGGGAGACCCCCGAUGGUGAACACACUUGCUGUGGGAGCUUUUGGGGGUGGCACAGACCAGGGGGUAGCGACUGUUUACCAAAAACACAGGUGCAUGCGAAGGCGCAAGCCGCUGUAUAUGCACUGACGCCUGCCCGGUGCCGGAAGGUUAAGAGGAUCCGUCAGCCUUCGGGUGAAGCGGUGAAUUCAAGCCCCGGUAAACGGCGGUGGUAACUAUAACCAUCCUAAGGUAGCGAAAUUCCUUGUCGGGUAAGUUCCGACCUGCACGAAUGGCGUAACGACUUCCCCACUGUCUCGACCAGGAGCUCGGCGAA